GACGAACGCUGGCGGCGUGCCUAAUACAUGCAAGUUGAGCGCUGAAGGUUGGUACUUGUACCAACUGGAUGAGCAGCGAACGGGUGAGUAACGCGUGGGGAAUCUGCCUUUGAGCGGGGGCCAACUUUGGAAACGGAUGCUAAUACCGCAUAAAAAACUUAAAACACAGGUUUAAGGUUUAAAGGAUCAAUUGCAUCACUCAAAGAUGAUCCCGCGUUGUAUUAGCUAGUUGGGGAGGUAAAGGCUCACCAAGGCGAUGAUACAUAGCCGACCUGAGAGGGUGAUCGGCCACAUUGGGACUGAGACACGGCCCAAACUCCUACGGGAGGCAGCAGUAGGGAAUCUUCGGCAAUGGACGAAAGUCUGACCGAGCAACGCCGCGUGAGUGAAGAAGGUUUUCGGAUCGUAAAACUCUGUUGGUAGAGAAGAACGUUGGUGAGAGUGGAAAGCUCAUCAAGUGACGGUAACUACCCAGAAAGGGACGGCUAACUACGUG
rnacentral:rRNA from 1 species